rnacentral:misc_RNA from 1 species
GAUGAAGAACGUAGCGAAAUGCGAUAAGUAAUGUGAAUUGCAGAAUUCAGUGAAUCAUCGAAUCUUUGAACGCACAUUCCGCCCGCCAGUAUUCUGGCGGGCAUGCCUGUUCGAGCGUCAUUACAACCCUCAAGCCCCCCGGCUUGGUGUUGGGGACCGGCCACCGGUGCCCUGCUGCUUCCGCGGCAGGCGCACCCGGCCGCCCCCGAAAUGAAUUGGCGGCCCCGUCGCGGCCUCCCUCUGCGUAGUAGCACACAUCUCGCAGCUGGAGCGCGGCGCGGCCACUGCCGUAAAACGCACCAACUUUUUUUACAGUUGACCUCGAAUCAGGUAGGAAUACCCGCUGAACUUAAGCAUAUCAAUAAGCGGAGGA